rnacentral:rRNA from 1 species
GACGAACGCUGGCGGCGUGCUUAACACAUGCAAGUCGAACGAUGAAGCCGGAGCUUGCUCUGGUGAAUUAGUGGCGAACGGGUGAGUAACACGUGAGUAACCUGCCCUUGACUCUGGGAUAACUGCGGGAAACUGUAGCUAAUACCGGAUACGACCCUCGGAGGCAUCUCCUGGGGGUGGAAAGAAUUUCGGUCAAGGAUGGACUCGCGGCCUAUCAGCUAGUUGGUGAGGUAAAGGCUCACCAAGGCGACGACGGGUAGCCGGCCUGAGAGGGUAACCGGCCACACUGGGACUGAGACACGGCCCAGACUCCUACGGGAGGCAGCAGUGGGGAAUAUUGCACAAGGGGCGCAAGCCUGAUGCAGCAGCGCCGCGUGAGGGAUGACGGCCUUCGGGUUGUAAACCUCUUUUGGCAGGGAAGAAGCGAAAGUGACGGUACCUGCAGAAAAAGCACCGGCUAACUACGUGCCAGCCGCCGCCGUAA